rnacentral:rRNA from 1 species
UACAGAGGGUGCGAGCGUUAAUCGGAAUUACUGGGCGUAAAGCGUGCGUAGACGGUUAUGUAAGUCGGGUGUGAAAUCCCCGGGCUCAACCUGGGAACUGCAUUUGUGACUGCAAGGCUGGAGUGCGGCAGAGGGGGAUGGAAUUCCGCGUGUAGCAGUGAAAUGCGUAGAUAUGCGGAGGAACACCGAUGGCGAAGGCAAUCCCCUGGGCCUGCACUGACGCUCAUGCACGAAAGCGUGGGGAGCAAACAGG